rnacentral:rRNA from 1 species
CCUACGGGGGGCAGCAGUGAGGAAUAUUGGUCAAUGGGCGCGAGCCUGAACCAGCCAAGUCGCGUGAGGGAAGACGGUCCUAUGGAUUGUAAACCUCUUUUGUCGGGGAGCAAAAGUCGCCACGCGUGUCGUUCCGAGAGUACUCUAAGAAAAAGCAUCGGCUAACUCCGUGCCAGCAGCCGCGGUAAUACGGAGGAUGCGAGCGUUAUCCGGAUUUAUUGGGUUUAAAGGGUGCGCAGGCGGAAGAUAAAGUCAGAGGUAAAAUCGCGAGGCUAAACCUCUUAGAGCCGUUGAAACUGUUUUUCUUGAGUGAGUGAGAAGUAGGCGGAAUGCGUGGUGUAGCGGUGAAAUGCAUAGAUAUCACGCAGAACUCCGAUUGCGAAGGCAGCAUACCGGCGCUCAACUGACGCUGAUGCACGAAAGUGUGGGUAUCGAACAGGAGUAGAUACCCCUGUAGUC